rnacentral:tRNA from 1 species
GGCUAAUUAAACAGUUUUGAUUUGAAAUCAAGUACUAAAGCGGUGCUAUACGCUUAUCAGUCUC